UACGGAGGGUGCAAGCGUUAUCCGGAUUUAUUGGGUUUAAAGGGUCCGUAGGCGGUCUAGUAAGUCAGUGGUGAAAGCCCAUCGCUCAACGGUGGAACGGCCGUUGAUACUGCUGGACUUGAAUUAUUGGGAAGCAACUAGAAUAUGUAGUGUAGCGGUGAAAUGCUUAGAGAUUACAUGGAAUACCAAUUGCGAAGGCAGGUUGCUACCAAUUGAUUGACGCUGAUGGACGAAAGCGUGGGUAGCGAACAGG
rnacentral:rRNA from 1 species